rnacentral:rRNA from 1 species
CACGGCGAACUAUGUGCCAGCAGCCGCGGUAAUACAUAGGUGGCAAGCGUUAUCCGGAUUUAUUGGGCGUACAGGGUGCGUAGGCGGUUGUGUAAGUUUGAGGUUAAAGCCCGGAGCUCAACUCCGGUUCGCCUUGAAAACUACAUAACUAGAAUGCAAGAGAGGUAAAUGGAAUUCCAUGUGUAGCGGUAAAAUGCGUAGAUAUAUGGAAGAACACCUGUGGCGAAAGCGGUUUACCAGCUUGUUAUUGACGCUGAGGCACGAAAGCGUGGGGAGCAAAUAGGAUUAGAUACCCUAGUAGUCCACGCCGUAAACGUUGAGUACUAGGUGUCGGGAAUUAUCUCGGCGCCGCAGCUAACGCAUUAAGUACUCCGCCUGAGUAGUAUGCACGCAAGUGUGAAACUCAAAGGAAUUGACGGGGACCCGCACAAGUGGUGGAGCAUGUGGUUUAAUUCGAAGCAACACGAAGAACCUUACCAGGGCUUGACAUCCAGUGCAAAGGCAUAGAGAUAUGCUGGAGGCUAACAUUGAGACAGGUGGUGCAUGGUUGUCGUCAGUUCGUGCCGUGAGGUGUUUGGUUAAGUCCAGCAACGAACGCAACCCUUGUCAUUAGUUACUAACAUUAAGUUGAGGACUCUAAUGAGACUGCUAGUGUAAGCUAGAGGAAGGUGGGGAUGACGUCAAAUCAUCAUGCCCCUUAUGUCCUGGGCUACACACGUGCUACAAUGGCUGAUACAAAGAGUCGCAAUCUCGUAAGGAGGAGCUAAUCUCAUAAAGUCAGUCUCAGUUCGGAUUGAGGGCUGCAACUCGCCCUCAUGAAGCCGGAAUCACUAGUAAUCGCGAAUCAGACAUGUCGCGGUGAAUACGUUCUCGGGUCUUGUACACACCGCCCGUCACACCACGAGAGUUGGUAACACCAGAAGUAGGUAGCCUAACCGUAAGGAGGGCGCCUCCCAAGGUGGGAUCAGCGAUUGGGGUG